rnacentral:lncRNA from 1 species
GCGUUCUAUGCUGCAGUCGCUUCCCUCUGUCAUCUUCCUCUGCCUGGAACUUCGAGCUUUCAGACUUUGACACUUCCUUCCUUCUCUACACCAUAUAGACCAGAAAAGAAGCAGAUGACAAGAGAAAUCAGUAUCUGUGCCUGGCUGGAGGAAGGAAGCUUGUCAAGAUAUGCAGAGAGUUUUUACAGGAACACAGGUAAUGGUUUGUAUAUGCUCUGCCCACAGAGUGGCACUAUUUGGAGGUGUGGCCCUGUUGAAGUAGGUGUGUCACUGUUGGCUUUAAUACCCUAGUCUUAGCUGCCUGGAAGUCAGUAUUUUGCUAGCAGCCUUCAGAUGAAGAUGUAGAACUCUCAGCUUCUCCUGCACCAUGCCAGCCUGGAUGCUGCCAUGCUCCUGCCUUGAUGAUACUGGACUGAACCUCUGAACCUGUAAGCCAGCGCCAAUUAAAUAUUGUCCUUAUAAGAGUUGCCUUGGUCAUGGUGUCUGUUCACAGCAGUAAGCCCUAACUAAGACAGUGGGGUAGCUGGGAAAGAGUGGUCUAAAUGGGAAAGGAGAUAAACUCUGCCCGUUAAUGUUUGUUGGAUGUGAUUUACUAUUGUUUGACACUGUCUUUAGGGGUUUCUUUACAUUCGCAGUGAUGGGAACAGAACCAGAAUGGGGGACGUUGCUGGGGAGAAGGACUGCAAAGGUUAAACAGGUUGAGUUGUCUGGCAGCUCCAAGAACAGGGUCACUGGACUUAUACUUCAUUCAUCAUAAUUUCCCUGGGAAAUACACACUCCUCACAAUAUCCCCUGAGCAGACAGGUAAACUCCAUCUCACCAGAGCACCACCUGGUCCAGUCACUUGCUUAAACUCUGUUGACAAUGGUUCAGCAUUCUAGUGGAAGUAAGCCUAGCCUUGAAGUGACUCCAAAUGGGACACCUGUAUUCUUCUCUUUUGCUGGUGGGAGAAACCUGUGGUCUCUGGAGGUGAGCUUGGAAAUCAGUCAGUUCUCUCUGGUCCUGAUUUGAUAGAGGACCAUCCAUCCAUUCAUUGAGCUUUUUGAUUCUUUGACUUGGAAUGUUAUGGCUUGAAUAUGAACUAUCCUGGAAGGGCUCACAUGUUGAAUACUGGAUUCCAGCAAGUGUAACUCUUUUUGGGGGAUGAGUGAUAGUAAUUAUAGGAGAUGGGGCUAGCUGGAGGAAGGAGGUCACUGGGGAGAGUGCCUCAGGUGUUAUACCUGGUACUUGGGCCCUUGUCUCUUUGCUUCUCACUUGUCACCUGAGCAGACUUUGCCACACUGACUACCACUGUGAAGUUCUGUCUGGCCACAGGACCAUAAUCAACAGAAUUAAGACUGUGAACUGGUAUCUCUGUA